UGCUUACCAUGCGGUCGAGCGGUAAGGCCCUUCGGGGUACACGAGCGGCGAACGGGUGAGUAACACGUGAGCAACCUGCCCCUGACUCUGGGAUAAGCGGUGGAAACGGCGUCUAAUACCGGAUACGACACACCGCCUCAUGGCGUGUGUGUGGAAAGUUUUAUCGGUCAGGGAUGGGCUCGCGGCCUAUCAGCUAGUUGGUGGGGUAAAGGCCUACCAAGGCGAUUACGGGUAGCCGGCCUGAGAGGGCGACCGGCCACACUGGGACUGAGACACGGCCCAGACUCCUGCGGGAGGCAGCAGUGGGGAAUAUUGCACAAUGGGCGAAAGCCUGAUGCAGCGACGCCGCGUGGGGGAUGACGGCCUUCGGGUUGUAAACCUCUUUUACCACCAACGCAGGCUCCACGUACUCGUGGGGUUGACGGUAGGUGGGGAAUAAGGACCGGCUAACUACGUGCCAGCAGCCGCGGUAAUACGUAGGGUCCGAGCGUUGUCCGGAAUUAUUGGGCGUAAAGAGCUCGUAGGCGGCGUGUCACGUCUGCUGUGAAAGACCGGGGCUUAACUCCGGUUCUGCAGUGGAUACGGGCAUGCUAGAGGUAGGUAGGGGAGACUGGAAUUCCUGGUGUAGCGGUGAAAUGCGCAGAUAUCAGGAGGAACACCGGUGGCGAAGGCGGGUCUCUGGGCCUUACCUGACGCUGAGGAGCGAAAGCAUGGGGAGCGAACAGGAUUAGAUACCCUGGUAGUCCAUGCCGUAAACGUUGGGCGCUAGGUGUGGGGACUUUCCACGGUUUCCGCGCCGUAGCUAACGCAUUAAGCGCCCCGCCUGGGGAGUACGGCCGCAAGGCUAAAACUCAAAGGAAUUGACGGGGGCCCGCACAAGCGGCGGAGCAUGUUGCUUAAUUCGACGCAACGCGAAGAACCUUACCAAGGUUUGA
rnacentral:rRNA from 1 species